UAGGGAAUCUUCGGCAAUGGGGGGAACCCUGACCGAGCAACGCCGCGUGAGUGAAGAAGGUUUUCGGAUCGUAAAGCUCUGUUGUUAAGGAAGAACGUGUGUGAGAGUGGAAAGUUCACACAGUGACGGUACUUAACCAGAAAGGGACGGCUAACUACGUGCCAGCAGCCGCGGUAAUACGUAGGUCCCGAGCGUUGUCCGGAUUUAUUGGGCGUAAAGCGAGCGCAGGCGGUUAGAUAAGUCUGAAGUGAAAGGCAGUGGCUCAACCAUUGUAGGCUUUGGAAACUGUUUAACUUGAGUGCAGAAGGGGAGAGUGGAAUUCCAUGUGUAGCGGUGAAAUGCGUAGAUAUAUGGAGGAACACCGGUGGCGAAAGCGGCUCUCUGGUCUGUAACUGACGCUGAGGCUCGAAAGCGUGGGGAGCGAACAGGAUUAGAUACCCUGGUAGUCCACGCCGUAAACGAUGAGUGCUAGGUGUUAGGUCCUUCCCGGGACUUAGUGCCGCAGCUAACGCAUUAAGCACUCCGCCUGGGGAGUACGACCGCAAGGUUG
rnacentral:rRNA from 1 species